ensembl:snRNA U1 U1 spliceosomal RNA
ACAAUAACAUGUCACCGCUAUGUUGUAGCAGAGGCAACCAGGCUCGGCCAUUGCACUCCGGCCGUGCCGACCCUUGCAAUUUCCCCAAAGGUGGGAAUCUUGAUUGCAUAAAUUGUGUUAGUGGGGGACUGCGUCCCCAC